UAGGCACCUAGCUCAACUGGUAGAGCAGCGGUCUCCAAAGCCGCUGGUUGGGGGUUCGAGUCCCUCGGUGUCUGCCCA
rnacentral:tRNA from 1 species